GGGUUGUGAGGUUAAGCGACUAAGCGUACACGGUGGAUGCCCUGGCAGUCAGAGGCGAUGAAGGGCGUGCUAAUCUGCGAUAAGCGCCGGUAAGGUGAUAUGAACCGUUAUAACCGGCGAUACCCGAAUGGGGAAACCCAGUGUGAUUCGUCACACUAUCAUUAACUGAAUCCAUAGGUUAAUGAGGCGAACCGGGGGAACUGAAACAUCUAAGUACCCCGAGGAAAAGAAAUCAACCGAGAUUCCCCCAGUAGCGGCGAGCGAACGGGGAGGAGCCCAGAGCCUGAAUCAGCAUGUGUGUUAGUGGAAGCGUCUGGAAAGUCGCGCGAUACAGGGUGACAGCCCCGUACACAAAAGCGCAUGUGUUGUGAGCUCGAUGAGUAGGGCGGGACACGUGGUAUCCUGUCUGAAUAUGGGGGGACCAUCCUCCAAGGCUAAAUACUCCUGACUGACCGAUAGUGAACCAGUACCGUGAGGGAAAGGCGAAAAGAACCCCGGCGAGGGGAGUGAAAAAGAACCUGAAACCGUGUACGUACAAGCAGUGGGAGCACCCUUUUGGGUGUGACUGCGUACCUUUUGUAUAAUGGGUCAGCGACUUAUAUUCUGUAGCAAGGUUAACCGUAUAGGGGAGCCGGAGGGAAACCGAGUCUUAAUUGGGCGUUAAGUUGCAGGGUAUAGACCCGAAACCCGGUGAUCUAGCCAUGGGCAGGUUGAAGGUUGGGUAACACUAACUGGAGGACCGAACCGACUAAUGUUGAAAAAUUAGCGGAUGACCUGUGGCUGGGGGUGAAAGGCCAAUCAAACCGGGAGAUAGCUGGUUCUCCCCGAAAGCUAUUUAGGUAGCGCCUCGUGAAUUCAUCUCCGGGGGUAGAGCACUGUUUCGGCUAGGGGGCCAUCCCGGCUUACCAACCCGAUGCAAACUGCGAAUACCGGCGAAUGUUAUCACGGGAGACACACGGCGGGUGCUAACGUCCGUCGUGAAGAGGGAAACAACCCAGACCGCCAGCUAAGGUCCCAAAGUCAUGGUUAAGUGGGAAACGAUGUGGGAAGGCCCAGACAGCCAGGAUGUUGGCUUAGAAGCAGCCAUCAUUUAAAGAAAGCGUAAUAGCUCACUGGUCGAGUCGGCCUGCGCGGAAGAUGUAACGGGGCUAAACCAUGCACCGAAGCUGCGGCAGCGACGCUGAUGCGU
rnacentral:rRNA from 1 species